GUCUACGGCCAUAGCACCCUGAGCAUGCCUGAUCUCAUCUGAUUCGGAAGCUAAGCAGGGUCGGGCCUGGUUAGUGCUUGGAUGGGAGAGUGGCUACCCAUAUAAGUCAAAAUGUGGUUUCUUGUUUUCA
rnacentral:rRNA from 1 species